CCUUCGGGUGUGACUGCGUACCUUUUGUAUAAUGGGUCAGCGACUUAUAUUCUGUAGCAAGGUUAACCGUAUAGGGGAGCCGGAGGGAAACCGAGUCUUAACCGGGCGUUAAGUUGCAGGGUAUAGACCCGAAACCCGGUGAUCUAGCCAUGGGCAGGUUGAAGGUUGGGUAACACUAACUGGAGGACCGAACCGACUAAUGUUGAAAAAUUAGCGGAUGACCUGUGGCUGGGGGUGAAAGGCCAAUCAAACCGGGAGAUAGCUGGUUCUCCCCGAAAGCUAUUUAGGUAGCGCCUCGUGAAUUCAUCUCCGGGGGUAGAGCACUGUUUCGGCUAGGGGGCCAUCCCGGCUUACCAACCCGAUGCAAACUGCGAAUACCGGAGAAUGUUAUCACGGGAGACACACGGCGGGUGCUAACGUCCGUCGUGAAGAGGGAAACAACCCAGACCGCCAGCUAAGGUCCCAAAGUCAUGGUUAAGUGGGAAACGAUGUGGGAAGGCCCAGACAGCCAGGAUGUUGGCUUAGAAGCAGCCAUCAUUUAAAGAAAGCGUAAUAGCUCACUGGUCGAGUCGGCCUGCGCGGAAGAUGUAACGGGGCUAAACCAUGCACCGAAGCUGCGGCAGCGAACGUAUCACUUAAAGCGAUUCAGCG
rnacentral:rRNA from 1 species